AGUGAACUGAAACAUCUAAGUAGCUGCAGGAAGAGAAAGCAAAAGCGAUUGCCUUAGUAGCGGCGAGCGAAACGGCAAGAGGGCAAACCGAAGAGUUUACUCUUCGGGGUUGUAGGACUGCAACGUGGACUUAAAGAUUAUAGAAGAACUACCUGGGAAGGUAGGCCAAAGAGAGUAAUAGCCUCGUAUUCGAAAUAGUCUUUAUACCUAGCAGUAUCCUGAGUACGGCGAGACACGAGAAAUCUCGUCGGAAUCUGGGAGGACCAUCUCCCAACCCUAAAUACUCUCUAGUGACCGAUAGUGAACCAGUACCGUGAGGGAA
rnacentral:rRNA from 1 species